ACUAAUUUGGCAGAAAAGUGCAUCGGAUUUAAGCUUCGAAUAUAAAAUUUAAAAAUUUUAUUUAGUA
rnacentral:tRNA from 1 species